CACCGACACGUUGAGGGGGAGUAGCCAAGACCAAGCAGCAAAAACAUCAUAGCACAUUCCUGGGUAGUCCUCAGCUGCCAGCAUCUGAUUAAAACCAUAUCUCUCGCUGUGAGUGGCUAACUAAUCUGAAGGCGAGAGUACAACUGAAUAUUUAACCGGGCCCUCGCUCCUCGCCAGGCUACCGGCUGCAGACGUCGGAUCAUGCACGGGGCGGCACGGAUCUAGCUCGUAAAAUAUUAUGCCUGCCUGCUGAUUGUUCCUUGGAUUCUAAAGAACUACAACAAGUACAGCUGACCACCAUCUCAUCAUGUCUACUGAAGCUGAAACUACUACUACUAUCAACAGCCAGCCUGAGCAGCAGGCUCCACCAAAAGUACAGCCUUCAAAGAAGGAAAAAAAGAAAGGGCCUGAAAAGACAGACGAAUCUCUUUUGGCCAGAUUCAAAGGUGAUGGUGUAAGAUACAAAGCUAAACUGAUUGGCAUUGAUGAUGUCCCUGAGGCAAGAGGAGACAAAAUGAGUCAGGAUUCAAUGAUGAAGCUGAAGGGAAUGGCAGUGGCAGCUCGUUCCCAAGGUCAACACAAGCAGAGGAUCUGGGUGAACAUCUCUCUCUCUGGUAUCAAGAUAAUAGAUGAGAAAACUGGGGUCAUAGAGCAUGAGCAUCCAGUGAACAAAAUCUCCUUUAUUGCUCGAGAUGUAACAGAUAAUCGUGCCUUUGGCUAUAUUUGUGGAGGAGAAGGCCAACAUCAGUUUUUUGCCAUAAAAACAGCACAACAGGCUGAGCCCCUAGUUGUUGACCUUAAGGACCUAUUCCAACUAAUAUAUAAUAUGAAGAAGAGGGAAGAAGAAGACAAGAAGAAGGGAGUUGACCAGAUGGAUUUGUUUGGGGAUAUGUCAACACCUCCUGAUGUGAGCAGUCCCACAGAAGCUAAAGAGAUUCUGUUAGUGGACCUAAACUCUGAAAUUGAGACCAAACAGACUUUUACAAAAGAGGAUCUCUUCUUGAAUGGCAUCACAACUUCUCUUCCACAACCAAAGCCACAGCCACCAUUCUUGCCAGAAAAUUCUUUCUCUACCAGUCUCAGCUUCUUUCCUACACCUAAUCCAGACCCUUUCAGUGAUGAUCCUUUUGCACAGACAGACCAAUCUGCACAACCUUCAUUUGAUUCUCUAAAAUCUGCUGAUCAGAAGAAGGAAAAUCUGAGCACCUUGACACCGGUGGGUAAUGGUGCUUCAAAUGGUGAUAUUGACUACUUUGGUAAACAGUUUGACCAGAUAUCUAAUAGAACUGGCAAACGAGAAGCACUAACAAGCCAGUGGCUAUUUGAGAGUAAGCCACCUGCAGCAAGAACUCCAAAUGGGGUACCAGACAGAGAACAGAAUGGCUUUCUUAAAGCCCCAUCAAACUUCUUUGUGGAAGGUCCUUCCAAAGGAGUAACUCUGCAGAAUGGAGUAAAGCUGGAUUCUGAAAGCAAUAUCCAGCUCAUGUCACAUGAGUCUAUAACAAUUAGCCCACCACCACAAAGUACCAAGCCAGGAAGAGGAAGGAGGUCUGUCAAGACUACAUCAAAUGACUUGUUUAGCUCGGACUUGUUUGCACCAACUACGGAGAGCCUUGGCUUAACCUCAGUGGCGCAGACAGGACCUGUGCAAGCUAAUCCACUGGACCUCUUCAAAACAAGCCCUACCACAGCACCUCCAUUAACUGGUCUAGGUGGCUUGCCUGUAUCUUCAUCACCAUGGAGUACACAGACAUCUGCCUUCAACCAGGCUGCAUCUGUCUUUUCUGGGUCUAUGAUGUCUACUCAACCUGCAGGAUUUACUCAACCACUUGCCUUCAGCACUCAAGCAGUGUCAAGCUGGAGCCAGCCUGCAUCUUUUGGUCCAACAGCCUCUCAGUCCCCUGGUGUCUGGGCACAGCCAGCACAAGUUACAUCUACUUCAUGGGCACAGCCAUCCAGUGCUGUAAAUCCAUUCCAGAGUAGUGUAUUCCCACCUUCAACACUACCUGCUCAGCCCCAGUCUGUACUGCCAUCUGUGUCAACAACAAGUAGCCCACCUCAGCCACCACCUAGAACUGCCCCUCAGAAGGAGAUAUCCAAGAAAGAUAGCGAUGCUUUUAUUGCUUUGGAUCCACUUGGUGAUAGAGAGAUGAAGAAUGUCAAGGAAAUGUUCAAAGACUUCCAGCUGACAAAGCCACCUGCAGUGCCAGCAAGGAGAGGAGAACAGCAGAGUCUUUCAGAAUUACCAAAGCCUGUUCCCCGACAAAGUGCACUGCCAGCUGAUAGCCUAUUCGAAAGUCAACCUAAAGCAGACCUUUUCAAUGCCUCACCUGUAAGUACUAAAACUUUCCACUGUGUCCCUCCACCCUACCAACAGGGAUCCCUGUGUUUGAGAACUCGCUUAGUUCUAGCUUUUAGGGGCUAUAGAACAAAACUUCUUGCAUACCUGAGGCUAAUAUUUAAUCUAACAGAGGGCAUUUGUUGCAAAGAGGCUAACAAAGCAUGAUUCCAUUUGGCCUGGGUCCAUAACAAAUGCUACAAACUAUAAAUCCUCCUGGAAACUUCUUCAGCUCUAUAUGGGGAGCUUCUACAAAGGUCUGUAAAUGGUGCAGCUGCAGAAGUCUUCCACUUCAUCUAUGCUUACCCCUUUGCAGGCUAGUAUGGACUGAAUGGGAGGUUCCCAUGGCUGGUAUCCCUUGGGGGAGGAAGUGGCCUACGCACAUCACUCCAUUUGGGACACAGUACUUGAAACCCUUGGUGGAAAAUCAGGACUACUUCCAGAAUGCUGGCCUAUGACAUCUAGCAUUUGGCUAAAACAGAUCUCAAAGUGACUAUACUGGCUCAAAUACAAAUGAGUUAAUGAAAUACACAUGGCUUUUCUAAAAUGUACCUUGCUUCCAACUAGUAUAACUACUAACAUGGCUUUAGACCCCCCUUUACUCUUUAAAGCAGUACAGUUGAUAUGUAUUUAGCAGGUGCUCGGCAGUAUUGUCUUUCCAGAAAGCAUUUGAAACCCAAACUAGCUGAUACAGUCAAGCAGAAUAAACCUGGUGAAACCUGAAAAUCCACUGAGUCUAUGACUUUCCUUUUCAUAGAAGGAAUCUCAGAAACAACCUUCUGGUCCAUUUGGUGAUCCUUUUGGCAACCCCUUUGCAUAGACUAGGCACAACCAGGGAAGGACAAAUGGAAUAACUGGACCUCUUCUCAACAUGACUCUUUCUAUUUGUUUCACUUUGCUGUCUGCCAUUCCUACUGCUGUUCCACGAUGUCUGUAAUCUAAAACACAUCCAGGUGGAUUGAAACAAACCCUCAACAGUAUGCUGUGAAGAUGGUAAUUCAGGGCAAAACAAAUGGAAAGUUGUACACAGCCUGGAGACCCAAACUCAAAUUGCUGGAUGUUUAGUUUUACUUUAGUCUUGCAAUAUUCCAUGGAAGAGCUUAGUGAUGCUAAGUCAUGUGUCUUGUAAACAUGGUCACCUCACUUCCUUUUUCUGCAGCACUCACUGUCCUGAAAUAUAGGAACUGAAUGUACCUGGGGAAGAAAUGCUGCCUUCACAUAAGGGAAUUGAAUUAGUAGCUAAACUCCACACUUUAAACAACUAGGUCAUUUGCAUGUUACCACAACAGCAGCCAGUUGUAAAGUUAGUGGAUACUACUCACUUCUAAUUGGUGACUGGACAUAUGACUUGGUCUCUAAGCCACAGAGAUAUAAAUUGUAUGGGUGGAGGAGAAAUAGAAUACUUGUCCACUUAACUAAUGGUAAAAGUAGCAUUCUGCCACAGAAAUGUAAUAAAGGGAUGAACUGUGGGGUCUGUAACAGAAUUGCUGGAGUCCUGAGUACUAGAGGUCUACAGUGUAGGGUCAGAUAAGACAAAACACUUCUUGAAGAACACUGAGUUAGUCGUUGACACUAACUGUUGUAUCGGUGCUAACAUGGCUUAUUCAGGGAGGGAAAUCUACUAGAUCACUUUUUUUAAAUUAAGGUGGCUUGGCAGACAAGUGGAACAAGCAGGUAGGCUUCUUGCUUAUAUCUCAUUGAAUGUCCCCAGUGUUGCUCAGUUUAAGUUCACACACAGUGUAGCAUGACAUGUUCCCAGUAUGUCAGAAAGCAAAAAGACAAUCAUAGCUUCAAUCCAUGCCUAGAUUCCUUGUGAACAGGUGCACCAGCUCUGUGCUAUUAAUGUGAGGUAGCCCUCCAUCUCUUAAAUGUGCCUUUUCUAAAGAACCUCUUUACUAACAGACCUUUAAAUCAGUCAGUUAUGACCAAUUGUAACAGUUAUGUUCUUGGCCAGUGGUGAGUGCUGAUAUGAGUUUUUUCCUGUUAAUACUAAGCAUAAACUUGAAAUAGUAUUGUUAAAUCAAAUGUCUAAGUGUUUGCUGAACUGGAAAGCUAAGAAAAUCAGCUUGGAGAGAGCCUUAGUACCCACUUCAGCCAGUCAUGCAAUUAGUCGUGUAUAUAAAUCUCUUGCACUUUCUGUAAUGCAAAAAAGCUAUGAACUUAAGUAUUUGUCUCAAACUGGAAAUGUAGAAACUUAUGGAUAUUACACUGUUAUAUAAUUGUAGUAUCUCAAGUGAUGUUACCUAAUGACAUUAAAAAGAAGCAACUCUUCAUAGCAAACUAA